rnacentral:rRNA from 1 species
UACGUAGGGUCCGAGCGUUGUCCGGAAUUACUGGGCGUAAAGAGCUCGUAGGUGGUUUGUCGCGUUGUCCGUGAAAACUCACAGCUCAACUGUGGGCGUGCGGGCGAUACGGGCAGACUGGAGUACUGCAGGGGAGACUGGAAUUCCUGGUGUAGCGGUGGAAUGCGCAGAUAUCAGGAGAAACACCGGUGGCGAAGGCGGGUCUCUGGGCAGUAACUGACGCUGAGGAGCGAAAGCGUGGGGAGCGAACAGG